GGGGCUGUAGCUCAGUGGUAGAGUGCUUGCCUAACAUGCAGGAGGCACUAGGUUUGAUCCUAAGCACCACA
rnacentral:tRNA from 1 species